rnacentral:rRNA from 1 species
GUGGGGAAUCUUCCGCAAUGGACGAAAGUCUGACGGAGCAACGCCGCGUGAACGAUGACGGCCUUCGGGUUGUAAAGUUCUGUUAUACGGGACGAAUGGCGUAGCGGUCAAUACCCGUUACGAGUGACGGUACCGUAAGAGAAAGCCACGGCUAACUACGUGCCAGCAGCCGCGGUAAUACGUAGGUGGCAAGCGUUGUCCGGAAUUAUUGGGCGUAAAGGGCGCGCAGGCGGCGUCGUAAGUCGGUCUUAAAAGUGCGGGGCUUAACCCCGUGAGGGGACCGAAACUGCGAUGCUAGAGUAUCGGAGAGGAAAGCGGAAUUCCUAGUGUAGCGGUGAAAUGCGUAGAUAUUAGGAGGAACACCAGUGGCGAAAGCGGCUUUCUGGACGACAACUGACGCUGAGGCGCGAAAGCCAGGGGAGCAAACGGGAUUAGAAACCCCAGUAGUCC